UACGUAGGGAGCAAGCGUUGUCCGGAAUCAUUGGGCGUAAAGCGCGCGUAGGCGGCCCGAUAAGUCCGCUGUAAAAGUCAACGGCUCAACUGUUGAAAGCCGGUGGAUACUGUCGGGCUAGAGUACGGAAGAGGCAAGUGGAAUUCCUGGUGUAGCGGUGGAAUGCGCAGAUAUCAGGAGGAACACCAAUAGCGAAGGCAGCUCGCUGGGACGUGACUGACGCUGAGACGCGAAAGCGUGGGGAGCGAACAGG
rnacentral:rRNA from 1 species